GUGCUGGCUUUGGCAGCACAUGUACUAAAAUUGGAAUAAUACAGAGAAAAUUAACAUAGCCUCUGUGCACGGGUAACCACAAAUUCAUGAAGCGUUCCAUAUUUUU